CUACGGGUUGCACCAGUGAGGAAUAUUGGACAAUGGAGGCAACUCUGAUCCAGCCAUGCCGCGUGCAGGAAGACGGCCCUACGGGUUGUAAACUGCUUUUAUACAGGAAGAAACGCCGCUACGUGUAGCGGUUUGACGGUACUGUACGAAUAAGGAUCGGCUAACUCCGUGCCAGCAGCCGCGGUAAUACGGAGGAUCCAAGCGUUAUCCGGAAUCAUUGGGUUUAAAGGGUCCGUAGGCGGUUUUUUAAGUCAGAGGUGAAAUCCUGCAGCUCAACUGUAGCAUUGCCUUUGAUACUGAAAGACUUGAGUUAUUGUGAAGUAGUUAGAAUGUGUAGUGUAGCGGUGAAAUGCAUAGAUAUUACACAGAAUACCGAUUGCGAAGGCAGAUUACUAACAAUAUACUGACGCUGAGGGACGAAAGCGUGGGUAGCGAACAGGAUUAGAUACCCGAGUAGUC
rnacentral:rRNA from 1 species